GUCUCCUUCCAUAGUGUGGAAGCUUUGUUCUUUCACUCUUUGCGAUAAAUCUUGCUGCUGCUCACUCUUUGGGUCCACACUGCCUUUAUGAGCUGUAACAUUCACCGCGAAGGUCUGCAGCUUCACUCCUGAGGCCAGCGAGACCACGAGCCCACCAGAAGGAAGAAACUCCGAACACGUCCGAACAUCAGAAGGAACAAACUCUGGACACACCACCUUUAAGAACUGUAACACUCACUGCGAGGGUCCGCAGCUUCAUUCUUGAAGUCAGUGAGACCAAGAACCCACCAAUUCCAGACACACCAUGUUAACUGUAUCUGCAAAACAGAGCCGUGGGACCUCUGGAAGUCUGACCAACCUAUUUCCAACAUGAGGCCCUCACCAGACUCCACCAGAAGUGGCCACCCAAUAUUGAACUUCCCAGCCUUCAGAAUUAUAAUACUCAUUCUCCGGGCAGCAGACAAAAGACUUGGAGACAUACACAGCUGAAGGAAAUGAAAAGGCAACAAGGCUAAGAGAACAAAGAUGAGCAUUGCCACGGUCCGGAGGAUGGUGGUGGAGGAAGCCUUCUCUACGCUGGUGCCUCUAUUGGAACUUUCAGGAAAUGAACAUGUGUGUUUUGUGUUUUUCCCUUUACACCUCAAGAAACUUGGAACAAUGAUUUUCUUUUAUGGAGAAGCUUACAUUUAAGCAGAUUAAAAAUUAGCCCCAAGAAUAGAAAUACAGAAUCAAAGUCCACAAAUUUAAUUAUUGUUUCCCCUGGUUAGCUGAUCUUCAAUUCUGAUAUCUUCCUCUCUCUGGUGUAGGGGAGUAAGGGUUAUACCCAUUUUGAAAUUCGUUGUUGUAUUACGACUACUAAUACACAGGGAAAGUUUCUAUGCAUUCAUUUAUUCAUCAAUAGAUAUUUAUUAGGACUCACUGUUUAUGGAACUGCCCAAGAUAUUGUGGGAGAUACAAGGGAGAAGAAAACAUCAACCCUGUUCUCAGAGUGUUUAAAGUCUACCAGGACUUCAAACGUGUCCAUUGCACACGUAAGCAUAAUAAAAGUUAAAAGGAGGUAUGCUAUAAAAUGGAUCAAAAUCAAAGGCUUUAAGAAGAGGAAAGGCAUUCCUUCUAGCUUUGGUCAGAUUUGGUCCACAAUCAAAUCAAAUUCUUAUUAAGUUCAUAUUCUCUUACUGACAAACUAAACUGCUGCAAAAAAUAAUCCUCCCCCAUGGGAGAUCUUACAGACAUACCCUAAUUGCCCUAGCUAAGUUUAGAAUGUAGCUCUGAAAAGAAUGACAAAAGACCUUGAAGAGGCAAGCAAGAGAUUUUGAAAUAUCUGGUCUAUAAGGGUAAAAGACUGUAUGAUACCAAAGCCUCAGGGUACCCAGCUGGGGUCAAUCUAUAUUAAUUGCUAACACCUAGAGGUAAUUAGCAGUAAUUACCCAAAGGAGUGAUGGGAUGGCCAGACGGACUUAAAGGCAGCAAUUCCAGGAGCUCCUACCAUGUUGGGAACCUAACAGCUUCUAGGUAACAAGAAAUAAAUUAGGUUUCCCCAGCAAUUUAUGUAGAUAGUUUUAAGAUUGUAUUACAAAGGACCCCGUGGGGCAAGCUUUUAUAAAUAUAUUACUAAAACUCGUAGCCCUUGCUACCCAGAGGUGAAGUUUAUUUUCUCACCCUUUGAGUCUGAGCUGAUCUUACCACUUGCUUUAACCGAUGAAUAUGGGGAAAGAGAAAUUGUGCAACUUUUGCUAGUAAGUCUUACAAGACCUGCAGCUUCCAGCUUCACCUUCUAGGAACAUUGCCCUGAGAUCAUCUUGUGAGGCAGCUGGUCUAGCCUCCUGGAGGAGAAGCAGUUUUGUGGAGAAGAUUCCAGGCAUCCCUGCCAACAAGCACCAACUCCAGAUAUAUGAGGAAGAGUAGUUUACAACUGACACUGUUUGGAAUUGCUGGCACAUGGUGAUAAUCAAAGGUAGGCUGACUUCUUGUCAUUUAAAUCGUUGCUUUAAAAUUUACAG
rnacentral:lncRNA from 10 species